CCUACGGGAGGCAGCAGUGAGGAAUAUUGGUCAAUGGGCGAGAGCCUGAACCAGCCAAGUCGCGUGAAGGAUGACGGCCCUACGGGUUGUAAACUUCUUUUGUCAGGGAGUAAUUGGGUCCACGCGUGGGUUUAGCGAGAGUAUUUGAAGAAAAAGCAUCGGCUAACUCCGUGCAAGCAGCCGCGGAAUUCGGAGGGACGGGAGCGUUAUCCGGAUUUAUUGGGUUAAAAGGGUGGGUAGGGGGAUUUUCAAGUCAGCGGUAAAAUUUCGGGGCUAAACGCCAUCGUGCCGUUGAAACUGGUAUUCUUGAGUAGACGUGAAGUAGGCGGAAUGCGUGGUGUAGCGGUGAAAUGCAUAGAUAUCACGCAGAACUCCGAUUGCGAAGGCAGCAUACCGACGCCCAACUGACGCUGAAGCACGAAAGCGUGGGUAUCGAACAGGAUUAGAUACCCUUGUAGUC
rnacentral:rRNA from 1 species